rnacentral:lncRNA from 1 species
AGAGGGUUGGGGAAGGCAGAAAGAGUGAAAGGCUGACUUGGGUGUCCUGAGAAUGCGUUUUCAAUUUACCUAGUCAGAGUGUUCGUGGGAGUCACCCCUGGGGCCGGAGGGAACAGCAGGAUUGACAGAAAUGGGGAGAGUAGACUGACAGAAACAAGGAAACCCCAUCUUUUCUUCCCAUUCUUUUGUCAGCCACGGUUGCAAAUACUGGAGGACUGGCUGCAGAGAGAGCAUUACCUCUUGUCUGUCUGAUGCUGUCACCAGUUUGAGUGUGGGCACGGGGGAGGGCACAGAGUUCGUGCUUCAGAUACAAAGCAAGUGUUCCUCCACGUGCCUGACCACGUCUCAGCUCUUUGCUAGCAGAGCCAAGACCCUCAUCUUCUAAUGACCAACAUUCUUCUUUUUUUUUUUUUUCCCAAGGGAGUGAAAACCUGUAGGAAAAAGAACAAACGAAAAAGUCACAGAGCUGUGACUGCAGUAAUAACAUCUGGUGAGAUAAAAGGCAAGUAGCAAGUGGUGGUGCAAGCCUGCUGUCAUAGUAUUUGGAAACUAAAGGCAGGGGGGGGGAUUAAAAAGAAUUCAAGGCCAGCCUGGGAUACAUAGCAAGAUCCUUUCUUCUUUUUUUUUUUUUAAGAAAAGUAAUUUAUUUAUUUUAUUUUAUUUCAUUUUUUUACAUAAUCUUGAAUCUCACAGAUAAGAAUUCAGGAUUAACUUUAGUCAAGACCACUCUGAUGCCAGCUUACCAAAGCUACUGGCCAACAUCGUGGUGGUGGUGGUGGGGGAGUCUCCCAGUGAUUUUACUGCUCCACAUGGAGAGGUACAGCUUUGUCCUCAACAGUCAUAUUAGGUGUUUCUAAGAAAGACAAUGAAGUUCAUGGAGGAAGUAUGGGGGGUUGGGGGGGCAGGUUAGUAUUUUGUUUGAGACAGGUCUCACUAUGUUGCUCUGUCUGGCCUGGAACUCACUGUGUAGACCAAGCAUCCUGAGUGCUGAUACAAACGGCGUGCGCCUCCACAAUGAGCAGAAGUGUGCAUCAAGUGAGCAACAAAAGACAUGAGGACUGGAAGCCGCCUUGAAGGCUGCUCUGACUGCAUUGUUAGUGGCUGUCCCUAGACAAGUGCAAGCCCCUGGGACUGUGGGAAAGACUGUAACAGGAUAUUGAUAUUUAUUGAGUGUUGGAAAGCAAUGUAACAGUUGAAGCGAGGUCUCCUCUGGCCCUCUGUGGACCUCCACGAACGAUGACUUUCAUGGCUAGCUGAAGACAGGUCUAUGUGACUCCAUGACACAUGGUGUCUAUGUGACUCCAGCUCUCCUCCUUGCCUCCUAAGUCGCUGAACUAGCACAUUGAACCCAAAGCUCCAUGGUUGUUUAGGCCGGAGCUGCGACUUUAUGGCGGAGACUUUGCAUUCACAGAGUUCUGGGUUCAGUUUCCAGCGCUGAGAACAUCCUGCUUUGUGCUGUGAAGAAACAUCACAAUUAAAGCAAAGUGCGUGAAAGACAAUCGUUAUACACAGACUUAUUAAGCUCCCACCAGGGUAAAGAAACAGGUUUUUACCAGCAUCCCAGGAGCCUCCAGUAUACCUUCCCAAACAUCCUCUGCCUCUUAGAAAUAACCAUUGCAUUGAUGGUAAUUAUGACACUGGUUUCUAAUAGCUCUAUAAAAUUGGAAAAAAAUUAUUCCAUUUUUCAAAAAUUAUGAUUGAAAUUCAAUUUUAUAUAUAUGUUGAAUUUUUAGAGGGUCACAUGACUUCUGGUUUAAAUUUAUUAAUGUGAUGAAGUAUCUUUGCAUUACUAGUGUAAGAUAAGCCUAGUUGUAUUCAUUUCUUGUGGCUGAUGUAAUAAAUUUAAAACAAC